CCUGAAUACACCCGAUCCCGUCAGAUAUCAGAAGAGAUACAGG
rnacentral:rRNA from 1 species